AUUGAACGCUGGCGGCAUGCCUAACACAUGCAAGUCGAACGGCAGCACGGGAGCUUGCUCCUGGUGGCGAGUGGCGGACGGGUGAGUAAUGCAUAGGAAUCUGCCCAGUAGCGGGGGACAACUUGGGGAAACUCAAGCUAAUACCGCACGCGCCCUACGGGGGAAAGCGGGGGACCUUCGGGCCUCGCACUAUUGGAUGAGCCUAUGUCAGAUUAGCUUGUUGGUGGGGUAACGGCCUACCAAGGCGACGAUCUGUAGCUGGUCUGAGAGGACGAUCAGCCACACUGGGACUGUGACACGGCCCAGACUCCUACGGGAGGCAGCAGUGGGGAAUAUUGCACAAUGGGCGAAAGCCUGAUGCAGCAAUGCCGCGUGUGUGAAGAAGGCCUGCGGGUUGUAAAGCACUUUCAGUAGGGAGGAAACAGUAGCCGGUUAAUAUCCGGUUGCCUUGACGUUACCUACAGAAGAAGCACCGGCUAACU
rnacentral:rRNA from 1 species